rnacentral:rRNA from 1 species
GGGGGCAAGAGCCCUUCACUUAUUCUCAAACUUUAAAUUGGUCAGGAAUUGGCUUUGCUUUGGUGAAAGCCGAGCGAGAAUCGAACAUCCAUGAGUGGGCGAUUUUUGGUAAGCAGAACUCGCGAUGGGGAAUCAACCAAAAGGCAUGCUUAAGGCGCCGAAAUCUCGGUUAAUGUAGAGAAAAAAGCGUGCGCAUUUGAAGACAGUCAUGACGUGGCCAUGGAAGUUGGAAUCGUCUAAGGAGUGUGUAACAACUCAAUGACCGAAAAUGGGUGCCUUGAAAAUGGAUGGCGCUGAAACCGAGUGCCUAGAGCAGCCGGAUGGACCAGGGGUAGAGGGCCAUCCUGUAGGCUAGCGUGCAGAGUGGGGCGAAGGUGUGCAGCAGUGAUGCUGACUGGACCGCUCUGUAGUGCAGAUCUUGGGGCUAGUAGCAAGUAGAGAAGGGAGGAACUUCUCAACCGAGAGACCAAAGGUUCCUCAGGAAUCGUAAUGAAAUGAGGGUGAGGCGGUCCUAAGGGAGAUCUGAAAA